rnacentral:rRNA from 1 species
CGCCUGUUUAACAAAAACAUGUCUUUUUGAUUAUAAUAUAAAGUCUAAUCUGCCCAUUGAUAUUUAUUAAAAGGCCGCGGUAUUUUGACCGUGCAAAGGUAGCAUAAUCAAUAGUUUCUUAAUUAGAAGCUGGAAUGAAUGAUUGAAUGAAAUAUAAACUGUCUUUAUUUAAUUGUUAUAGAAAUUAAUUUUUGAGUUAAAAAGCUUAAAUAAGAUUAAAGGACGAGAAGACCCUUUAAAGCUUUAUAUAGAAAUUAUAAGUAAAUUUUAAUAUUAUUUUAAUUAUUUUUAAUUAUAUAUUUUAUUGGGGCGAUAGGAAAAUUUAUGAAACUUUUUUUUUAUUUUAAAACAAUUAUUAUUGGGUAAUUGAUCCAUAUUUUGUGAUUAUAAGAUUAAGUUACUUAAGGGAUAACAGCGUAAUAUUUUUUGAGAGAACUAAUCGACAAAAAAGAUUGCGACCUCGAUGUUGGAUUAAGAUAAUUUUUAGGUGCAGAAGUUUAAAAAUUUGGUCUGUUCGACCAUUAAUUCUUACAUGAUCUGAGUUCAAACCGGAG